CCAGCCAACGCUGGACUUCCUCCCUCGGGCAAUCAGGCCCUGUGCUGAGGCCUGUCCAUUGAGCAAUUGCUCCCGCUGGAGCUGCUCUUACUUGACCUUCAGUCUUCUUCUGGCCCUAAUUGGAAAUUAGGGUUUCCUAAUGAGUAUGAAUCUCCGACUUCGAUCCUUUCAAUCUAAACCGUAACCAUUCAAUCCAAUCAGACUCCCGAUCAUUCUUCAUGGACAAAUCCAAUUCAUUCAAAGGCAACCAGAAUCCAUGGAGCGCGGAUUUCGGACUCGGCGCCACCGAUCGGAGAUUGGCGUUUUCCCGCCAAGCCUCGUUCCAGCAGUACCGCGAACCACCGCACACGCCUGUCUCCAUCAAUUUCGACGACUCCGAGGCCACGCCGUUUCUCUUCCGGAGCGUGUCGAGCAUCGACGUUCCGCCGGGGGCGUAUUUGACGGAGGAAAGCGACGAGCUUUUCGGGGACCGGAGCGUUUCGGCCGAGAAAUUGUCGGUUUUGGUGCUUUUCGAAUCGGUGUUUCGGAUCUUGAGGUCCGGAAACCGGUAUAUGAAGAGGUUGUUCUUAUUGAUUUCGCUUAAUGUGGCGUAUUCGACAGCAGAGUUAUUUAUUGGACUCUUCACAGGACGUAUAGGUUUAGUGUCGGAUUCCUUUCAUUUAAGUUUUGGUUGUGGCUUAUUAACGUUUUCAUUGUUCGCUAUGGCGGCUUCUCGAAAGAAACCGGAUGGAAUUUACACUUAUGGGUAUAAAAGGCUUGAAGUUUUGUCUGCUUUUACCAAUGCUCUGUUUCUUUUGUUUAUGUCAUUCUCAUUGGCUGUCGAAGCACUUCACGCAUUCAUACAGGAUGAAUCUGAACACAAGCAUUACUUGAUUGUUUCGGCUGUGACAAAUCUACUGGUGAACCUUAUUGGUGUUUGGUUCUUCAGAAAUUAUGCUCGUGUAAAUCUUGUUUAUAGAAAUGCAGAAGAUAUGAACAAUCACUCAGUUUGCCUGCAUGUUCUUGCAGAUUCAAUUCGCAGGGGUGAUAUUGGCAUCCUGGUUUCUAUCUAUUGGGGUUCAGAAUGCAGAGGUUUUGUGUUUCGGAUUAGUUUCAGCUGCAGUUUUUAUGCUUGUAAUGCCAUUAUUUAGAGCGAGUGGUGGUAUUCUACUCCAAAUGGCACCACCAAACGUUCCACCUUCAGCAUUGAGCAAAUGCUGGCGACAGAUUACUGCCCGUGAAGAUGUAUCUGAAGUUUCACAAGCACGGUUUUGGGAAUUGGUUCCUGGUCAUGUUGUUGGGUCGAUUUCAGUACAGGUAAAGAAAGGAAUAGACGAUCGCCCCAUUCUUCAAUAUGUGCACGGUUUGUACCAUGAUUUGGGAAUACAGGACUUGACAGUGCAAGCUGACAAUGUCUGAGAAUUUUUUUUCGGGUUGGUUUCUGCAUUGUUUGGUAGUUGGGUGAAGAUAGUAUUGGAUUCAAGUCUGAGAUGUCGAUUUGUCCCAACUUUUUUCUUUUGAAACCAAAUUUCCGAUGGAAGAGAGGAAUUUAAUCGGAUCCGUGUCAUUGUAAUCAAAUAUUCUUCUCUUUUAUUCAGGAAAUGUAGUUGCGGCGAUGGCAGAGGUUUACGAUUCCGUUCGUGUUUCA